rnacentral:rRNA from 1 species
ACAGGCUGUUGCAGUUAAAGCUCGUAGUUGGAUUUCGGGUGGGUCGUAGCGGUCCGCCUCUGGUGUGUACUGCUAUGGCCUAUCUUUCUGCCGGGGACCGGCUCCUGGGCUUCACCGGCUGGGACUCGGAGUCCGCGAGGUUACUUUGAGUAAAUUAAAGUGUUCAAAGCAAGCCUACGCCCUGAAUACUUUAACAUGGAAUAACACGAUAGGACUCUGGCCUAUCUUGUUGGCCUGUAGAACCGGAGAAAGGAUUAAAAGGGAAAGCCGGGGGCAUUCUAAUUUCUUUGUCAAAGGGGAAAUUCUUGGAUUUUUGAAAAACAAACUUUUGCGAAAGCAUUUGCCAAGGAUGUUUUCUUUAAUCAAAAACAAAAGUUGGGGGCCCCAAAAAA